rnacentral:lncRNA from 1 species
CCUCAUGGGAGGUGAUUGUAUUAUAGGGGGCUGGGUUCCCCCAUGCUGUUCCCCUGAUAGUGAGUGAGUUCUCAGGAGAGCAGAUGGUUUUAAAGCAUGGCACUUCCUCGUUUUCUCACUCCCUCCUGCUGCCUUGUGAAGAAGAUGCCCGCUUCCCCUUCGCCUUCCACCAUGAUUGCAAGCUUUCUGAACUAUACACAAAUAGCCAUCAUUGUGUUACCACUACCUAUGGUACUCAGUAUGGUAACAUGCUGCAGAGGUUUGGAGCCCAGGAGCAAUCAGCUCUACCAUUCAGCCAAGGUGUGUGUUUGGUUGCAACCUCUGAAGGAAGCUAAGGAGGAAUGACCUAAAGACAGAAGGGAUAGGGUCUACCUAUGUUGCCCAGGCUGGUCUCAAACUCCAGGACUCAAAUGAACCUUAACCUCCUGCCUUGGCCUCUCAAACUGCUGGGAUUACAGGUGUGAGCCACCACACCUGGCCUAAAUUUCUUAAUUUGGACAAAUGUGCCAUGGUAAUGCAAAAUGUCAUUAUUAGGGGCAGCUGGACGGAAGGUGUCGGAGUACACUAUAAUGCCUUUUCAGUUUUUCUAUAUAUCUAAAAUCAUUUCAAAAGUAAACAUUUAUUUUAAAACAUGGACGUGGUUAUCCUUCCAUGAGUGUAAAGUACAAAAGGCAGGCUCAUGGUGUUGUCAGAAGUCAGAACACUGGUUGCAGGGCUGGGGGCGCAGAGGCUGGGUUGGCUUUGUGAUCUGGGGGCUGAUGUGUUCCAUCUGUUAAUGUCUUUAGAGCUGUGCACUUUCUUCAUAAAUUUUCAUAAGUUUAACAAAAAAGUAAAACGAGGAUGGGAAGCUUGUUUGGGUUGUGGGGCCUCGGGAGUGUACUGCUGCUUGUCCCUAGCUGUGAAUGGGGUGCCCUGGUCGGAAGCAGUGCUGUGUGCACUGCAGGGCCGGCAAGUGCAUGUCCACGUUGUGGCUCAGUGCAGUGAAAGCCAA